rnacentral:rRNA from 1 species
AUUGAACGCUGGCGGCAGGCCUAACACAUGCAAGUCGAACGAGUGGCGGACGGGUGAGUAAUGUCUGGGAAACUGCCUGAUGGAGGGGGAUAACUACUGGAAACGGUAGCUAAUACCGCAUACCAUCAGAUGUGCCCAGAUGGGAUUAGCUAGUAGGUGGGGUAAAGGCUCACCUAGGCGAAGAUCCCUAGCUGGUCUGAGAGGAUGACCAGGCACAAUGGAACCGAGACCAGGUCCAGACUCCUACGGGAGGCAGCAGUGGGGAAUAUUUGACAAUGGGCGCAAGCCUGAUGGAGCCAUGCCGGGUGUAUGAAGAAGGCCUUCGGGUUGUAAAGUACUUUCAGCGGGGAGGCGUUACCCGCAGAAGAAGCACCGGCUAACUCCGUGCCAGCAGCCGCGGUAAUUC